rnacentral:lncRNA from 1 species
GCCGCUCAGAUUUAUUUCGUCCUCCCUACUGCCAAGCUUAAGUAUCGCCUCGCCGCAUUCGACAUGGCGGCGUUGGCCAUCGAGGCCAUCCUGGCGCUCGACCAAAUCAGCCGCCGAAAAAGAAAGCUCAGAUCUACCCUACUUGGACGGCGAUGGAGGAUCCGCAGUCGAAUCACACCGUUAAUCACGGCUGAGCUCGAACGCGGCCACUGUGAAGUAGGGAACGAACUCCGCCUGAUGAGGAGGUUUUGACGGAGAAGGUGAAAUUGUUGGCAAAGAGAAAGAGAUGAGAUUUCAGGCUGCGGCGGCAACUUCGCCGGAGAAGCUGCCUCGCCAGAAAUUUCAGGCGGCAGCGGCCGAGGCGACGACGACGGAGGCGGAGGCGGUGACCGGCGACUGUCGAGAGAGAGAAGAAAUGCAACUGUGGAUUGGGAGAUGAAAGGAGAGAGAGAGCGAGCGAGAGAAGUGAGGGAGUAUUUNCUUCGCCGGAGAAGCUGCCUCGCCAGGAAUUUCAGGCGGCAGCGGCAGAGGCGACGACGACGGAGGCGGAGGCGGUGACCGGCGACUGUCGAGAGAGAGAAGAAAUGCAACUGUGGAUUGGGAGAUGAAAGGAGAGAGAGAGCGAGCGAGAGAAGUGAGGGAGUAUUUUUGACUGGCCUAUUUUUUAAAUUUUAAAGUGAAGGGUAAUUUUGUACUUUUACACAAAAACUGGCCAAUUUUUUAUGUUUUUAUUUCAUAGGCCAAAAUUUAAUUUUACUAUAUGAAAGUGGCUAUAUUUAUAUAUUAACACUUGUUUAAAAGUGGUGGCUAUAUAAGUCUCAAACUAUAUGCUUUUGGUUACAUAUGUCUUUCUCCCUUUAUUUUAUGUUAUUUUUAUUAUUAUAACAUAUGAAAUAGUUUAUAUAUAAAUUAAUGUAGAAAUUCGACGGGAAUCAUUUUAUGUCAUCAUUUAUAAUUAUUUUAUGUUAUUUUUAUUACUAUAACAUAUGAAAUAGUUUAUAUAUAAAUUAAUGGUAAUUUAAACUAGCAUCAAACCUGUCGAAAUUCGACGGGAAUCAUUUUAUGUCAUUAUUUAUAAUUAUUUUAUAAAUCCAUAUAUAUAUAUAUAUAUAUAUAUAAUUAAUGAAAAAUUGAAGAAAAUUAAAAUAGAGUGAUUAUACGGCGCCACGUAGGAUAUGAUUUAUUUUGCUAUUAUAUAUAGGGUUAAAUAAUUUUAAUACCCACUUCCAUAAUAUAUUUAUCAAAUCUACCCACCCUUAUAAAACAUCUAUGAAAAAUACCCACUUCAUAGUGAAAUACCAUUCCUACCCUUAUACUAUAUCUCUCUUAAUACUUCAUCUUAUACAUUAAUCCGCGCUUUCAAAAUUGGUAUCAGAGCGGGUUUUUAUUGAGAAAUUAUUUUAUAUUUAAUUUAUUUUAUAAUUAACCUAUGUGGGAGGAGACUCCAUUAAAAAAUUAUGGAUCCGGACGAUUGUCCGAGAUGUGUACCAUACAGGAAUUCUCUCCAACAUUUGGAGAGAGAAACCACUCGUUNAAUUUUGGGUUUUUAAAGUUUGAAUUCACAAUUAAAAUUAGAAUUUAUUUUGGUUGUAAAUUCAAAAAUAUUAAGUUGUGAAUUUGGAGUUUUUAAAAUUUGAAUUCACAAUAAAACUAAAAUUAAUUUUGAUUGUGAAUUCGAGUUUUAGUUGUGAAUUCAUAGUUGUGGUUGUGAAUUCAAGAAUAUUCAGUUGUGAAUUCAUAGAUGUGGUUGUGAAAUUCAAAAAACAUUAAGUUGUGAAUUCAUAGACGUGGUCGUGAAUUCAAGAAAAUUAAGUUGUGAAUUUAUCAAUUCUGUUGUGAAUUCAAGAACAAUAAAAAAAAAUACAAGAAAUUUAGUAUGUUUCUCAUAAAAAAUUCAACCAAUGAGCAUAAGAGAGAGAGAUCUAAGCUACAUAAAUUCUACAUAUCUCUAAAGGACAUUCCCCAAAAUUGGCAGAAAAUGACAACAGCAGCUCCACGAUUGUGAAAUGCACACCUACCCCCAUAAACUCAUUAUUGCAGCAAGGAAUCAAGGAAAAAGGCAUCAAGGAAAAGUUACACAAGGAAAAAGGCACCAGUGAAUUGCGCCUCUUCUCUCUUCCCAUAACCGCUUCCCAAGCACUCCAAUCCCUAAAUUUAUCCCCAAAUUCCUUCUUUCUCUGCAACUUCGCAUCUACUUCGACGAUUUCAUCCCAUCCCUCCCCCAUGACGACCUACUCAACGCCGCUCAGAUUUAUUUCGUCCUCCCUACCGCCAAGCUUUAGUAUCGCCUCGCCGCAUUCGACAUGGCGGCGUUGGCCAUCGAGGCCAUCCUGGCGCUCGACCAAAUCGGCCGCCCAAAAAGAAAGCUCAGAUCUACCCUACUUGGACGGCGAUGGAGGAUCCGCAGUCGAAUCACAUCGUUAAUCACGGCUGAGCUCGAACGCGGCCACUGUGAAGUAGGGAACGAACUCCGUCUGAUGAGGAGGUUUUGACGGAGAAGGUGAAAUUGUUGGCAGAGAGAAAGAGAGGAGAUUUCAGGCUGCGGCGGCAACUUCGCCGGAGAAGCUGCCUCGCCAGGAAUUUCAGGCGGCGGCGGCAGAGGCGACGACGACGGAGGCGGAGGCGGUGACCGGCGACUGUCGAGAGAGAGAAGAAAUGCAAUUGUGGAUUGGGAGAUGAAAGGAGAGAGAGAGCGAGCGAGAGAAGUGAGGGAGUAUUUUUGACUGGCCAUUUUUUUAAAUUUUAAAGUGAAGGGUAAUUUUGUACUUUUACACAAAAACUGGC